UGUUGCUCAGUAUCAAACAUAGAACUUCACUUUUGAUUCAUAUAUUGAACCACUUGAAAAUUUAUUUUGAUAAAAACAGAUGAUCGAAUACAGUCGAGCACGUUCGAGCUUGCACAUUCUUGGGUGAUGCCAGUUUAACAUGCUUGUUUUUCUAGUUGCCAGUUUUGCGGUUUUUACAUCCGCGAGUCUAUUACUAUGAGUGUUUAUACGGCUAGUGACAACAGCCUCUUCCUGAAAAUGAAAUGUUCUUAAGCCGUUUGCAUCGUAUCCUAUUUUUUCCUAGUUAAUUCUAUUUUAUGUUAGUAGUAACACCUUUCAUGUGUGACCCGUGAUUAAAGAAACAAUGUUCUCAAGCGGAAGAAUCGACCAGACAGUUUAUUCAUCAUAUUGAAUUGAAUCGUUCGAAAAGGGCAUAACACUACUACGCUACAAAAAGUGCUUUUGAUGUCGACAUCAGUAUCUCUUACACAAUAUGCUGCUACUUGUUUCAAAGGACUACCCUUUUAGGCGACACCCCAAUUAACUGGGUACAUUGAGUUUAGUUACCAUGAUAAUACAGCACUCAUUCGACAACCCAAACGUAUUGGGUAGCCAAACUCGGAAUGUACUUCUUUCAGAAGCAGCAGAGGAAAUUAAUAGCAUUAGUGCUAAUUGCUGUAUGUAUCCAGUGCCUCCCACGAAACUUUAAUGCCGGUUUAUUGCUGUAUAGUGGGGCUGAUCGAUAGUAACCGAUCCAAGAAGACAAUCGGAUGCCGAUGGAGAGUGCGUCUUUUGUUUUUGGAUAGGGUAUGGAAAUCCGCAUGAGAAGUGUGCUUUUGAGAAACAAUAAAAAAGUAAAAAAUUUG